AGUCCCUCCAUCCUCCUGAGUUACCAGGCGGAAGAAGCAGAGUGGCAGAGCCGCGGGGCUUGAUUCCGGGAGGCUGGGUGCUUCACUGCUGCAAGUGCAUCUUGGCUCGGAAGCUGUGUGGGGAAAAUUCCUGUUGACCUUUGAAGAGCCACUGUGGCAAAAAGUAAAAAACCUUGGCCGAUUCUCAAGCAGCUGUCGUUCAGACCUGGAGCACUGACAGUACCCGAAGCAGGCUGGUCUGAGCCGAGGAGGAAGUCUGCUUGCCUGCAGCUUGUCCUGGGGGUCCCGGCUCCUCUGCCGGCAGACCCUCUGACUUAGGCUGAGAGUCUCCGGCUAAGCUACAUCCGCGACCUUAUAAAACCAGAUCCUCGUAAUCCAACUACAGGACAGACCAUGAGAACUGCUGUGAUAUCGAAGACGCUGUACCAGCCCAGCUGAGUGUAAAGCGGGGAAAGACCAAUUCUGAGUGAUAGACGUCCCCUAGGAGGUGGCAUCGAGCCAGGCCUGCCCGUUACUAGCACAUUCACUAUUUGACAUAAAGUAUCAGCUCUUUCACAAUUAUUCGUACAAGUAUUUUAGUUACGAGUACAUUUGUCCUGCCGUAAGCUUAGCUUGGAAGCUCUCCCACUGCUUUCUAUAGUCCCAGCCCUCACAUGUUAAAUCUGUUAGAGAAUAAGUGAAUGCGUACAAUCAGGUACCCAGGUCCGGUGACCCCGAGGGGUUUAGACGGAGACGCGAUGAGGGGGAGACUGGAGGGAGGUGGUCUCUGCUUCUUCCUUCUCCACUCGGCCCGAAGGUAGCCUCUCUGGGCCUUUCUCCAGCGAACCUGUCUCACCCGUAGAGACGCCGAGGGAACUCAAUGAUGUCGUGGGGACUUGAGUGCACAGUCAGGAGAGGAGGGAACUUCGUUAAUUACGCACGUACUGGAAGGAGGCUGCUCUCAGGCCCUACUCUCCAUAGACAUAACCUACUGCUAUUGUUUCAAGUACACUCCCCCUAAUAACGUUUUUGCGUAUCUAUUUACAGCGUGUCGGAACUUCGUAGCUGUGUGGGCUCCUCUCUAGCUGCAGUGCUCAGAUUCCCGUCGUGGCCACUUCCCUUGCUGCCGAGCGCGGGCUCAGGGGCAGGCUCAAGGCUUGAGGGGCCCGCGCCGAGCUGCCCCCCAGCACUUGGGAUCUUCCCGGACCAGGGAUCAAACCUGCGUCCCCUGCGUUGGCAGGCAGAUUCUUAACCCCUGGGCCAGGGGAAGUCCCAGAGAAGUCCCCUGUUAUUAACUUUUUUAAUGUUCUAGUUUUUUGUUUGUUUCAGGUAGAAGUACUGUCAGGAUAGGUACGUUAGGAAAUGGCAUCUGUUAGGUGGGUUAAUGGAGAAAGCUCCGAUAGGGCAAAAAUCUAUCAAGAACAACUGACUUUGGUUUUUUCUUCUCCCAUCAAAGUCCAGUGUCUGCCCGAGGGCAGUGAGUGGCCCAGGAUUACUGCUGGAACCAGACUGAAUGACUCAGAAGUUCCUUCCCCAUCCGAUGAUGCCUGUGAGAAAGCCAAGAUUCUCUGCAGGUGAUCUGAUCUUAGGGCUGAAACAGAGCGUCACUGGCUCUGUGUAUUUAUUAUGUUUUAAUAACAAGGAAAAGGAUCCCCAGCACUGAGCUGAGUCACAAGAAGGAGUGUCUGGUACACCUGGUGUCCAGAAGAAACUACACCUGGGCUGGUCCCAGCACACAAACACCACCACCACUUCUCAUAAUUCCAGGAUCAGAAAGGAAAAUCUUCUCUUUCAGUAGAAAGGGGCUUCCCUGGUGGCUCAGUGGUAAAGAAUCCACUUGCCAAUGCAGGAGACGAGGGUUUGAUCCCUGGGUCAGAAAGACCCCCUGGAGGAGGGCAUGGCAACCCACUCCAGUCUUCUUGCCUGGAGAAUCCCAUGGACAGAGGAGCCUGGCGAGCUACAGCCCAUGGGGUCGCAAAGAGUUGGGCAUGACUGAGUGACUGAACACCCUUGCAGAGGGGCCUUUCAAGGUCCGUAACAAACCCCUGUCUGGGUGCCAGGCCCUGGAGUCUUCACUGGGACUCCUCUCUGGCCCUUUAGCUCAGGUUUACGUGAAGAGACUGCGGGGCAGAGUGUGGAUUUAGGGUGCCUGACUCCACACCCUGGGCCCCCCUCAUGUUCUUCUGCUCCUCUGGGUGUCAGAGAUCGGGACAGGGGUGGAUGGGCCCCGGGGGCAGAAGGCCCUCGGCAAGAGGGGAGCAGCAGCCAGCGGGGAGAUCUCAAAGAAAGACAAAGAAAGAUGCUCCCAGCAGAUGUCAGUGCUCCUGGACACACAGACGCUCUUCUUAGCUCCCAUUUCAAAACAAACUUGGAGCUUUUUCAAUAGGAAACUGGAAAUCCCAAGUCACCAGUGAUGGAGGGGUGGGGGGGCUGUCUCGAGAGCCUCCGUGCCCUCUGCCCCCGGAAGCCUGACGGCCUGACUCAGACUCCAGCCUCCAUCCCGGCCUCGUCCCAGCCACCCGGCUCCUCGGCCCCCGCUGGCAUCAUGCGGGCUCUUGCUGCAAGGUUGCUGAAACCCAGUGUCACCUGGCUAAGACGGAAGGUGGCGGUUUCCUGGCAGCUGGGAGAGACGGCAGGGGUGCGGCUGGCUCCGGAAACCCCUGCACCGCAGCCCGAACAUGCCCAGCCGCUGUCCUCGGGGCCAGCUGCCUCCUCUCCCGGCUCUCCACAGUCACACGGGGCGACUCGCCCAGAGGAGCCGAAACUGGAGGGGGCGCCCAGCAGGCCACUGCAUGCAGUCUGCCCCUAGGCGGGGCCGGGUGGGGCCUGGAGGAAGCCCCCAGGAACCCCUCGGUCACACGCUGAGCAUGCGGGGCAGGAUGUUCCCACGGAAGGGGGUGGUCGGGUUGAGCACACCGAAUUCUAGGCGUCCACCUGGCGUCACGACACCAAGGUGUCCCAGAGCCACUCGGGACGCCGUUUCUUAGCACGGGUCAGGCACAGACGUCCCGGGAGACCCUGGGAUGGCAGGAGUCCUGGGAGCAGCCCCAAGACAUGCUGGUCGCCGGGCUGGGCUCUGCUUCCUGGCUUCUCACAGGCCCUGAGGACCGCGUGCUGGCCGGAGGCCCGCCCGAGCGGCCCUGCCUCAGAGACCAAGCCGUGUCUGCGGCUUCCUGCGAGAUCUGAUGUCCACCCUGGAGAGGAGACCACGGAGAGGAGCUGGCCUCGGAUCUUCCACGAUUUCAACACACAGCUUCCUACCCCAGGAGCAGGGAGGCAGGGGCAGGCAGGCCAGAGAGUUUCCGCUUCAGCACCAAGAGGGCUUAUCGUUGUUGUUGAGUCGCUCAGUCGUGUCCGACUCCUGUUUGACCCCAUGGACUGUAGCCCGCCAGGCUCCUCUGUCCCUGGGAUUCUCCAGGCAAGAAGACUGGAGUGGGUUGCCAUUUCCUUCUCCAGGGGAUCUUCCCAGCCCAGGGAUCGAACCUGGGUAUCCUGCAUUGCAGGCGGAUUCUUUACCACUGAGCCAGCCCCCUGGGACGCCCACCAAGCGGGCGGAUGACAACAAACAGCAGAAAUCCAUCCAUCCUGUGUUCUCAGGGCGGUUCUCCCACGUGGAGAAAAGAGGGUGUCCCCAGCUCAGCCAGGGAACCACACCCCGAACCAGGGAAGGUUCGCACCUGCCCGUCGAGGACCAGUCUCCUCCUCAAUGCCACCAUCUUCUCCAGCCAGAAAACCAGCUAAACAAAUGCUCGCUGAAGACCUCCCAGGAGCCAGGCAUUGUGGGGUUACCACGUCAUCACCACGGCUACCCUCAGAAGACUUUUCAUCUGAAACCAAGAGGCCAGAACCUGGGCAGGACCAGCUGCUGGGCGUGAUGUCAGCAGAGGGAGGCACGGUUUGUUCUAACUGGAGACAGGGAACGGUUGAGCGUUAGAAGGCCCCGUGUUAUGUAACUUCCAGCUGGGUAAUGAACCAGGCCAGCUGGGACCCUGCCGUUGCUCAAGCAGAGGCCGCCCGGACCCCAGCGCAACCCCUGGGGGGAAACCCAGCACCUUCCUCCAGAGCACGUGAAUGCGGGCUUCUGAUGCCCACGGUUAGGUGUGAGGUUUUCCAUGCCCUCAGCCCCAGAGGAGGCUUCUUGUUUUCACAAUACUCGCUUCCCUGGAGCGUAAGAGCGGGGAAGGGGUGGGCAGGCAGGAAUUUGCGGGCUGCAGGCUGGAGGCCAUGCAUCUUGCUCCUUGGUCAGGAGCCAAGUCAUUAAAACUCCUGGUUCUCAAUGGAAGUCAAAAGUUCAUCAAAAUUGGCCAGGAGCACAGAAAUCGAGUUGCUAGAAAAAUCUGUCUUCCUCGGGCCUGGCUGGCCCAGUGGAACAUCAUGAGAACCAGCAAGACACCCUUUCCAAUUCCGACUGUCAGUCAACCCUCCCAUGGGCAGGUCUGGCCAGCACAACACACAUGAGUCCAUGUCCCGGUGGAUGAUUUCAACGAGCCCCACAGGGGAAAACCAGCAGCUGUGGUGGGAAGGGGCGAGAGAGGCAGGCAGGCUGGCCCAGGCAGCGCGGGGACUUGGGGCAGGCUGGUCGGCCUCCCAAGUCACUGAACGUGGUCAGAGCCAGCAGGAAGAGACACAGGAGUGCGCAGGAGGGAGGUAGCGGGGUGGGGGGAGACACCCUGCGUCCGGAAGAGCCUGCUGGCCACCGGAAACUGCUUUCUGGAUUCUCGAAGUGUGGUCUGCAGGGGCCAGCAGAGAAAGCAUCACCUGGGGACCUGCUAGAGAUGGACCCCACCACAGCUGGACUGGACUGGAAUUCUGGUUUCCAGUGGGCUCACGAGUCUGAGAACCAUUGGCCAGGCGGCUGAGCACUCAGGCUGCCUGGGUUCCAAGCCCUCUCUGUGGCCCCGGGACAGUCACUCAGCCUCCCUGAGUCCCAAGUUCUGCUCUGGAUUAAAAACAGAUGCGGCUCAGAUGGUCAUUUGAGAAACAGACGAUAAAGCACUUUCAACAACGCCGAACACACAGACGGCAGCAAGCCCAUUUACGAUUGUUGUUCAGUCGCUCGGUUGUGUCUGACUCUUUGCAACCCCAUGGACUGCAGCACGCCAGGCUGCCCUGUCCCCCACCACCUCCCAGAGCUUGCUCAAACCCGUGUCCAUCGAGUCGAUGAUGCCAUCCAACCAUCUCAUCCUCUGUCGUCCCCUUUUCCUCCUGCCCUCAAUUUUUCCCAGCAUCAGGGUCUUUUCCAAUGAGUCAGCUCUUCCCAUCAGGUGGCCGAAGUAUUGGAGCUUCAGCUUCAGCAUCAGUCCUUCCAAUGAACAUUCAGGACUGAUUUCCUUUAGGAUGGACUGGCUGGAUCUCCUUGCAGUCCAAGGGACUCUCAAGAGUCUUCUCCAACACCACAGUUCAAAAGCAUCAAUUCUUCGGUGCUCAGUCUUCUUUAUGGUCCAACUCUCACAUCCGUACAUGACCCCUGGAAAAACCACAGCUUUGACUAGACGGACCUUCACAAUGAUUGACUAGCCAAAAUUGUGUCAAGCGUCCCUGGAAGACCGUGACUGUCCCUGUCCCCAGACUGGCCUCCUUAAGGAAGUGACGUCCGAGCUGAGACCAGAAGAAUCAGAAACGCCCGCAGCUCACCCUCAUGACCUGCAGCUGUCGUGCAUGGUUCUCAGCAGGUCUUCCCCGCCGCCAUUAGGUGACAGUGUGACCCCCAUCCCACGGAUGAAGUGAGUGAAAACAAAGAUGAUGACCUUGACCAAGGUCACCCAGGGGAGAAGCGGUGUAGACAGAUCUGGGUCCUGGCUCUUCACCACU